AACCCAAUGUGAACGUUACCAAACUGUUGCCUCGGCGGGAUCUCUGCCCCGGGUGCGUCGCAGCCCCGGACCAAGGCGCCCGCCGGAGGACCAACCAAAACUCUUUUUGUAUACCCCCUCGCGGGUUUUUUAUAAUCUGAGCCUUCUCGGCGCCUCUCGUAGGCGUUUCGAAAAUGAAUCAAAACUUUCAACAACGGAUCUCUUGGUUCUGGCAUCGAUGAAGAACGCAGCGAAAUGCGAUAAGUAAUGUGAAUUGCAGAAUUCAGUGAAUCAUCGAAUCUUUGAACGCACAUUGCGCCCGCCAGUAUUCUGGCGGGCAUGCCUGUCCGAGCGUCAUUUCAACCCUCGAACCCCUCCGGGGGGUCGGCGUUGGGGAUCGGCCCUCCCUUAGCGGGUGGCCGUCUCCGAAAUACAGUGGCGGUCUCGCCGCAGCCUCUCCUGCGCAGUAGUUUGCACACUCGCAUCGGGAGCGCGGCGCGUCCACAGCCGUUAAACACCCAACUUCCGAAAUGUUGACCUCGGAUCAAGUAGGAAUACCCGCUGAACUUAA
rnacentral:rRNA from 1 species